UGAAUACGAGAUGCUACGGCGUCGAAGCAGUCUAUGUCAUACUUCCAAGAAAAGCUUGCACUGUCAUAAACAAAUAAUGCCUGUACCAUAACCGACACAGGUGGGUAGGUAGAGUAUACUAAGGGGCGCGAGAUAACUCUCUCUAAGGAACUCGGCAAAAUGACUCCGUAACUUCGGGAGAAGGAGUGCCUUAUUUUAUAAGGUUGCAAUAACAAGAUCCAAGCAACUGUUUACCAAAAACACAGGUCUCCGCUAAGUCGUAAGACGAUGUAUGGGGGCUGACGCCUGCCCAGUGCCAGAAGGUUAAAGAAGUUGGUUAGCAUCCGCGAAGCUGAUAACUGAAGCCCUGGUGAACGGCGGCCGUAACAAUAACGGUCCUAAGGUAGCGAAAUUCCUUGUCGGGUAAGUUCCGACCCGCACGAAAGGCGUAAUGAUUUGGAUACUGUCUCAGAGAGGGGCUCGGUGAAAUAGACUUGUCUGUGAAGAUGCGGACUACCUGCACCAGGACAGAAAGACCCUAUGAAGCUUUACUGUAACUUGAAAUUGAAAUUGGACUUUACUUGCGCAGUAUAGGUGGGAGGCGUUGAGAAUAUUCUUGCGGGAAUGUUGGAGCCAUCAGUGAGAUACCACUCUUGUAAUGUUAGAUUUCUAACUUUGUAUCAUUAUCUGGUCAAAGGACAGUUUCAGGCGGGCAGUUUGACAGGGGCGGUCGCCUUCCAAACGGUAACGGAGGCGCACAAAGGUUUCCUCUGAACGGGUAGAAAUCGUAUCUAGAGUGUAAAGGCAUAAGGAAGCUUGACUGUGAGACCUACAAGUCGAGCAGGGACGAAAGUCGGUCUUAGUGAUCUGACGGUGCUGAGUGGAAAGGCCGUCACUCAACGGAUAAAAGUUACUCUUAGGAUAACAGGCUGAUCUCCCCCAAGAGUUCACAUCGACGGGGAGGUUUGGCACCUCGAUGUCGGCUCAUCGCAUCCUGGGGCGGUAGUACGUCCCAAGGGUUGGGCUGUUCGCCCAUGAAAGCGGUACGCGAGCUGGGUUCAGAACGUCGUGAGACAGUUCGGUCCAUAUCCGGUGUAGGCGUUAGAAUAUUGAGAGGAGCCUUCUUUAGUACGAGAGGACCGAGAAGGACAUACCUCUGGUGUACCAGUUAUCGUGCCAACGGUAAACGCUGGGUAGCUAUGUAUGGAGUGGAUAACCGCUGAAAGCAUCUAAGUGGGAAGCCCACCUCAAGAUAAG
rnacentral:rRNA from 1 species